rnacentral:rRNA from 1 species
CCGUGCACCCCAGGUCAGGCGGGGCA